AUUGAACGCUGGCGGCAGGCUUAACACAUGCAAGUCGAGCGGAGCGAGGGUGCUUGCACCUUAGCUUAGCGGCGGACGGGUGAGUAAUGCUUAGGAAUCUGCCUAUUAGUGGGGGACAACAUUCCGAAAGGGAUGCUAAUACCGCAUACGCCCUACGGGGGAAAGCAGGGGAUCUUCGGACCUUGCGCUAAUAGAUGAGCCUAAGUCGGAUUAGCUAGUUGGUGGGGUAAAGGCCUACCAAGGCGACGAUCUGUAGCGGGUCUGAGAGGAUGAUCCGCCACACUGGGACUGAGACACGGCCCAGACUCCUACGGGAGGCAGCAGUGGGGAAUAUUGGACAAUGGGGGG
rnacentral:rRNA from 1 species